UACGUAGGGUGCGAGCGUUGUCCGGAAUUAUUGGGCGUAAAGAGCUCGUAGGCGGCUUGUCGCGGCGGAUGUGAAAGCCCGGGGCUUAACUCCGGGUCUGCAUUCGAUACGGGCAGGCUAGAGUUCGGUAGGGGAGAUCGGAAUUCCUGGUGUAGCGGUGAAAUGCGCAGAUAUCAGGAGGAACACCGGUGGCGAAGGCGGAUCUCUGGGCCGAUACUGACGCUGAGGAGCGAAAGCGUGGGGAGCGAACAGG
rnacentral:rRNA from 1 species